rnacentral:rRNA from 1 species
UACGAAGGGUGCAAGCGUUACUCGGAAUUACUGGGCGUAAAGCGUGCGUAGGUGGUUUGUUAAGUCUGUUGUGAAAGCCCCGGGCUCAACCUGGGAAUGGCAAUGGAUACUGGCAGGCUAGAGUGCGGUAGAGGGUAGUGGAAUUCCCGGUGUAGCGGUGAAAUGCGUUGAGAUCGGGAGGAACACCAGUGGCGAAGGCGGCUACCUGGACCAGCACUGACACUGAGGCACGAAAGCGUGGGGAGCAAACAGG